rnacentral:rRNA from 1 species
AGCGGUGGAGCAUGUGGUUUAAUUCGAAGCAACGCGAAGAACCUUACCAGGUCUUGACAUCCCUUGACAACUCCAGAGAUGGAGCGUUCCCUUCGGGGACAAGGUGACAGGUGGUGCAUGGUUGUCGUCAGCUCGUGUCGUGAGAUGUUGGGUUAAGUCCCGCAACGAGCGCAACCCUUAUUACUAGUUGCCAGCAUUCAGUUGGGCACUCUAGUGAGACUGCCGGUGACAAACCGGAGGAAGGUGGGGAUGACGUCAAAUCAUCAUGCCCCUUAUGACCUGGGCUACACACGUGCUACAAUGGCGUAUACAACGAGUUGCCAACCCGCGAGGGUGAGCUAAUCUCUUAAAGUACGUCUCAGUUCGGAUUGUAGGCUGCAACUCGCCUACAUGAAGUCGGAAUCGCUAGUAAUCGCGGAUCAGCACGCCGCGGUGAAUACGU